rnacentral:rRNA from 1 species
UACGAAGGGGGCUAGCGUUGUUCGGAUUACUGGGCGUAAAGCGCACGUAGGCGGAUUGUUAAGUCAGGGGUGAAAUCCUGGAGCUCAACUCCAGAACUGCCUUUGAUACUGGCAAUCUAGAGUCCGGAAGAGGUGAGUGGAACUCCUAGUGUAGAGGUGAAAUUCGUAGAUUAUCGCAAGAACACCAGUGGCGAAGGGCGGCUCACUGGCCCGGUACUGACGCUGAGGUGCGAA